UGAGAGGGAUGUUGGUUGGUGUUUUGCAUAGAGACAUUGUGUGGCUAAACUGCAGCUGCUAUAAAAGUGCCAGUGUCCCUGUGCCAUAUUAAUGAUCUGUAUGUGUCACAGUGCAUAGAUAGAGACAUGUCUUAUCCCACUGAUCUACUGCUGCUGCUGCUACUGGGGAUCCUCCUGAUCUUUAGCCAAGGUGCCUAUGGGCAGAUUCUGGUGACUCAGUCUCCAGAUUAUGUUUCUGUGUCACCAGGAGAAACUGUCACUAUCACAUGUAAAACCAGUAGCAGUGUUGUUGAUAGUGAUGGAGACAGUUUAGUAUACUGGUUCCAGCAAAAAUCAGGGAAAGCACCAAAGAGAUUAAUAUACUGGGCAACCAGGCGAGAAACAGGGACCCCAGAGCGGAUCAGCGGCAGUGGGUCUGGAACUGAUUUCACUCUUACAAUCAGCAGAAUGGAAGCAGAAGAUGCAGCAGAUUAUUACUGUAUGCAGAGAAGGGAGUUACCUCUCACACAGUGAUACAGAGCUGAACAAAAACCUCCUUCCUAUAAUUAGCAGCUGCAGUUGUGCUGAAUGUAGAUGCCACUGAGAGGGGAAUGUCAUACAGUGACUGCUGUUAUAUAUACUAGGCUUCCCCAGGUAUGGGACCUGUUAUCAGAAUGCCU